GACAGAGGGUGCAAACGUUGUUCGGAAUCACUGGGCGUAAAGCGCACGUAGGCGGACUUUUAAGUCAGAGGUGAAAUCCCAAGGCUCAACCUUGGAACUGCCUUUGAUACUGGGAGUCUUGAGGUCGAGAGAGGUGAGUGGAACUGCGAGUGUAGAGGUAAAAUUCGUAGAUAUUCGCAAGAACACCAGUGGCGAAGGCGGCUCACUGGCUCGAUUCUGACGCUGAGGUGCGAAAGCGUGGGGAGCAAACAGG
rnacentral:rRNA from 1 species